rnacentral:rRNA from 1 species
UACAGAGGUCUCAAGCGUUGUUCGGAUUCAUUGGGCGUAAAGGGUGUGUAGGUGGCGCGCUAAGUCGGGUGUGAAAUUUCGGAGCUUAACUCCGAAACUGCAUUCGAUACUGGCGUGCUUGAGGACUGGAGAGGAGACUGGAAUUCAUGGUGUAGCAGUGAAAUGCGUAGAGAUCGUAAGGAAGACCAGUGGCGAAGGCGGGUCUCUGGACAGUUCCUGACACUGAGGCACGAAGGCCAGGGGGAGCAAAACGGG